rnacentral:rRNA from 1 species
GACUAACGCUGGCGGCAUGCAUCAUACAUGCAAGUCGAACGGAUUAGGUUGUAGCAAUACGAUCUAGUUAGUGGCGAACGGGUGAGUAACACGUAGGUAACCUGCCCUUGAGACCGGGAUAACAUGCCGAAAGGCGUGCUAAUACCGGAUGUGACCACGGCCUCGCAUGGGGGUUGGGGUAAAAGGAAUGGCAGCAAUGCUAUCGCUUGAGGAUGGGCCUGCGGGCUAUCAGCUAGUUGGUGGGGUAACGGCCUACCAAGGCUAUGACGGCUAGCCGGCUUGAGAGAGUGAACGGCCACACUGGAACUGAGACACGGUCCAGACUCCUACGGGAGCAGCAGUAGGGAAUCUUCCGCAAUGGGCGAAAGCCUGACGGAGCAAUGCCGCGUGAGUGAUGAAGGCC